GCGGGUGUAGCUCAAUGGUAGAGUUCUGGCCUUCCAAGCCAGCUGUGAGGGUUCGAUCCCCUUCACCCGAA
rnacentral:tRNA from 1 species